CCUACGGGAGGCAGCAGUGAGGAAUAUUGGUCAAUGGGCGAGAGCCUGAACCAGCCAAGUCGCGUGAGGGAGUACUGCCCUAUGGGUUGUAAACCUCUUUUGUCGGGGAGCAAAAGCCGGACGUGUCCGGCUGUGAGAGUACCCGAAGAAAAAGCAUCGGCUAACUCCGUGCCAGCAGCCGCGGUAAUACGGAGGAUGCGAGCGUUAUCUGGAUUUAUUGGGUUAAAAGGGUGCGCAGGCGGAUUUUUAAGUCAGCGGUAAAAUCGUGGGGCUCAACCCCAUCGAGCCGUUGAAACUGGGGAUCUAGAGUGUGCGAGAGGUAUGCGGAAUGCGUGGUGUAGCGGUGAAAUGCAUAGAUAUCACGCAGAACCCCGAUUGCGAAGGCAGCAUACCGGUGCACAACUGACGCUCAGGCACGAAAGCGUGGGUAUCGAACAGGAUUAGAUACCCGAGUAGUC
rnacentral:rRNA from 1 species